GGGCAGUGGUAGCUCAGUGGUUAAGACAUUGGACUACUGAUUGGAAGGUUGUGAGUUCAAAUCCCUCAACUGCUCA